rnacentral:rRNA from 1 species
UACGUAGGUGGCAAGCGUUAUCCGGAUUUAUUGGGCGUAAAGGGAACGCAGGCGGUCUUUUAAGUCUGAUGUGAAAGCCUUCGGCUUAACCGGAGUAGUGCAUUGGAAACUGGGAGACUUGAGUGCAGAAGAGGAGAGUGGAACUCCAUGUGUAGCGGUGAAAUGCGUAGAUAUAUGGAAGAACACCAGUGGCGAAAGCGGCUUUCUGGACUGAAACUGACGCUGAGGCACGAAAGCGUGGGGAGCAAACAGG